rnacentral:tRNA from 1 species
UUUAAUAUGGCAGAAAAAGUGCAAUGAAUUUAAGAUUCAUAAAUAAAAUUGUUUUUUAUUAAAA